rnacentral:rRNA from 1 species
AGGACGAACGCUGGCGGCGUGCCUAACACAUGCAAGUCGAACGGAGCCCGCAAGGGUUCAGUGGCGAACGGGUGCGUAACACGUGAGGAACUUGUCCAUCGGCGGGGGAUAGCCGGCCCAACGGCCGGGUAAUACCGCGUACGCCGUCCGGAGCGCAUGCUCUGGCCGGGAAAGCAGCAAUGCACCGAUGGAGCGCCUCGCGGCCUAUCAGCUAGUUGGUGGGGUAAUGGCCUACCAAGGCGACGACGGGUAGCUGGUCUGAGAGGAUGACCAGCCACAUUGGGACUGAGACACGGCCCAGACUCCUACGGGAGGCAGCAGUGGGGAAUAUUGCGCAAUGGGCGAAAGCCUGACGCAGCGACGCCGCGUGUGGGAUGACGGCCUUCGGGUUGUAAACCACUGUCGCGAGGGACGAAGAUCUGACGGUACCUCGAAAGGAAGCACCGGCUAACUCUGUGCCAGCAGCCGCGGUAA